AUUCUUGAACUCUGGUGAUGCUGCCAUUGUUGACAUGGUCCCUGGCAAGCCCAUGUGUGUUGAGAGAUUCUCUGACUAUCCUACUCUUGGUCGUUUCGCUAUUUGUGACAUGAGGCAGACAGUUGCUGUAGGUGUCAUCAAAGCCGUGGACAAGAAGGCUGCAGGAGAUGGCAAAGUCACCACGUCUGCCCAGAAAACUCAGAAGGCUAAAUGAAUAUUAUCCCUAACAUCUCCCACCCCAGUCUUAAUCAGUGGUGGAAGAACGGUCUCAGAACUGUUUGUCUCGGUUGGCCAUUUAAGUUUAAUAGUAAAAGACUGGUUAACGAUAACAAUGCAUGGUAAAACCUUCAGAAGGAAAGGUUUUGUGGACCUUUGUGUGUGUGUGUGUGUGUGUGUGUAUGUGUGUGUGUGUGUGUGUGUGUGUGUGGCAGUUUUAAGUUAUUAGUUUUCAAAAUCAGUACUUUUUAAUGGAAACAACUUGACCAAAAAUCCGUCACAGAAUUUUGAGACCCAUUAAAACAAAUUUAAUGAAUGAGAAAAAAAAAAUCAAUCAAGAA
rnacentral:lncRNA from 1 species